AAGCUUUUCAUAACAAAAAUAAGUCUUCAAAGGAUCUUCAUGAAUCUUGAUAAAUCUUGACUUNAUUUGGGCAUCAUCAAAACUUCAUCUUCAUCAUUUUGCUAACANUCUCCCCCUUUUUUAUGAUGAUCAAAAACUCCUUUGAAUUAAAACUUUUAGUAAUAAUCUGAGUAAGAACACAACUCAUGAAAGACAAGGGCAUUAGUGAAUAACAAUAAGCUUUAAGAUAUUUUCUCCCCCUUUUUUAUCAUAAUUAAAAAGUUGUGUUUCAUGUUCUCCCCCUAAGAUAAUACUCCCCCUUAAUAAAAACAUGUAUGCAUAUGAGUCCAAUAUAUUUCAAAUUUAAAUAUUCUUUGAAACAUACAGAAUAAGAGAUUUAAAACAUAUAAUUUUAGAAAAAAAAUCAUACUUUGAACCAUACAAGAUAGAAAUUUUAACGCAAAAAAAAAAAUAUGGCUAAUUUUGAAAAAGGCACAAAAUAAAAAAAUUCAAUCAUAAGAGAUCUUUAAAAAUCAUAGAUCUCUUCUAAUGUUUACCCAUUUUGAUAUAUCUCCAAAUUCGUUGUAUAAUGAUAUUUUGUUGAGAUCUUUGUCUUGGGGAUUGUCAUCAUUCUUCUCUUCCUUUGUUGUCUUUUGCAAGUCUUCAUUAUUACCUGCAUAUNUGAUUCAACUGACUCAAGAGGUUUUACCUCAAGGUCCACAAUUAUAUCAAAGACAACAUGCUUGAAAUAAAAUUUUCUCAAAUUUUGUUUUUCAAAAAAAUUAAAAUAUUUU
rnacentral:lncRNA from 1 species